rnacentral:lncRNA from 1 species
CCUGGUGUCCCCAGGUCUAAAUCAGGCCCUGAUUAGAGGGGAAUAACCCACCUGGUGUCCCAGGUCUAAAUCAGUCCCUGAUUAGAGGGGAACAGUGACGCUGGCUUGGAGCUCCAGGGUCCUAGAGGUCAUAGCUGUUCUACAUGUUAUUCUAUGGGCUUUAAUCAGUCAGGAUCGGCUGCUUUCAUCUCCAGUGUGUUUUGCUGUACAGCAGGUUUCUCAAACUCGGUCCCGGGGUCCCCUCUUGGGUACAACGUUUUGGUUGUUGUCCUAGCACGACACAGCUGACUGAAAUUACAACUAAAACAUGUACACACACACACACACACACACACACACACACACACACACACACACACACACACACACACACACGUGUGUCUGCCCUUGUAUGGGCGGUGUAGUGUCUAUAUAUAAGGGCUAAAGGAGAUCUGUUGGAUCAUGUAGCAACAACCAGCUUAUAAAAGUCAAUGAAUCAUGUUGAUGUUACAGGUCCUCUCUGCACCUCCACUUCAUGCUGAUGUUACAGGUCCUCUCUGCACCUCCACUUCAUGCUGAUGUUACAGGUCCUCUCUGCACCUCCACUUCAUGCUGAUGUUACAGCUCUGUCCUAGUCAGAGGAUAAGAGGACGCGAGGAAUGGGCGAAGGAGAGAAGAGGAUGAGGACUGAAGCACAGGAGAGGGAAGAGCAGAGAGACAGGAGAGGAGAGG